CGGGUAGAGUAAUGCGUGACCAACCUGCCCCAUGCUCCAGAAUAGCUCUUGGAAACGGGUGGUAAUGCUGGAUGCUCCAACUUGACGCAUGUCUUGUUGGGAAAGUGUUUAGUGGCAUGGGAUGGGGUCGCGUCCUAUCAGCUUGUAGGCGGGGUAAUGGCCCACCUAGGCUUCGACGGGUAGCCGGCCUGAGAGGGCGGACGGCCACAUUGGGACUGAGAUACGGCCCAGACUCCUACGGGAGGCAGCAGCU
rnacentral:rRNA from 1 species